rnacentral:rRNA from 1 species
CCAAUAGCGUAUAUUAAAGUUGUUGCAGUUAAAAAGCUCGUAGUUGAAUUUCGGGGUCAGUAGGCUGGUCAUGCCACUGGUAUGUACUGGUCUCACUGAUUCCUCCUUCCUGAUGAACCGUAAUGCCAUUAAUUUGGUGUUUCGGGGAAUUUGGACUGUUACUUUGAAAAAAUUAUAGUGUUUAAAGCAAGCUAACGCUUGAAUACAUUAGCAUGGAAUGAUGAAAGAGGACGUUCGAUCCUAUUUUGUUGGUUUCUAGGAUUGACGUAAUGAUUAAUAGGGAUAGUUGGGGGCAUUAGUAUUCAAUUGUCAGAGGUGAAAUUCUUGGAUUUAUUGAAGACUAACUACUGCGAAAGCAUUUGCCAAGGAUGUUUUCAUUAAUAAAGAACGAAAGUUAGGGGAUCGAAGACGAUCAGAUACCGUCGUAGUCUUAACCAUAAACUAUGCCGACUAGGGAUCGGAUGAUGUUAAUUUUUUAAUGACUCAUUCGGCGCCUUACG